rnacentral:lncRNA from 1 species
UCGCGUAAUUUACUUGGUCCAGCACGAGGUUGCCAUCCUUCCUUAACCGAAACAGUGACUCGGGCAUACAGCCGAUCAAGUAAAAGUAUAUCCUUAAGAGGAUGUGCUCGUAACUUGGAUGCUUCUGGACAACCCUACAAUAAAAAAUAUAUAUUAAUUUAUUUUUAGCAUAUAUAUUUGUUACAUAUUUAAAAGUAUGAAAAUAUAUUUAAACAAAAUUACUUACUUUUAUUAGCUCAUUCCACCAAACCCUAAACCCAAAUAUAACUCCAAAUAUAAGCACAAAAUCCAAAUAGAAUUGAACACAAUAAAUAACAUAGUACAUAUUUGUGAAAUUAUAAAAUAUCUAUAAUUAUAUGGAAAAAGUUAUUGCUGACCUCAACCAUACACCUUCACCUUUUAAAUACUAAACCCUAAACUCUAAUCACUAAACCCUUACCCAAAUAUAAACCCUAAACUCAAAUAGAAUGGAAGGGAAAUAUGUCUGUAUAACCAAGAAAAAAAAGCAUAAUUCAUGAAUUUGCCAAUUUCCCUAAUAUAACGAUACGCAGUGUGUCUUUUCUAUAAUAUUGUCAUCCUACCCUUUCAUUCAACCGGUAAAACCUGCAAAAAAGAUUAUAAUCAAAAUUAAUAACUAGUGAUUCUAAAAGAAAGACGUGGCAUUUACUUACUCUCACAUAGCUAACAAACCAAAUGGUAAAAUAUUGAAAGGUCAAUAGAUUCAUCUUCAUAUUUGAGCGAUUAAGACGCCACUGAUUACAUUCUUGGUGAGUUUGUGGAGAAGAAGACCAUUAUCGAAGGCUCGGUAGGUGACAAAAGGCGUGAGUAAGACGGCACCUUAACGGCGGUAAAACAAAAUCACAUUGCCUAUUAUGUAAGUUGUUUUACUACUCUUAAAUUCUUUGAAUUUCCAUUCAUUGUAUGUCGGAAUCUGAUAGUGUAAAGUAAAAAAAACCAGAAAUUUGUAAUUUUCUGUUUAUAAGAAAAUGGUGCUUGUAUUCCAUUUGCAUGACAAUAUAGUUGACUGUGUAUAUACAUGGAAUAGACCCGAUGAAGAUAGCUAUGUCAACCUCUAUUACUUUGUUUGUGUGAAUUUGUAAAUAAAAUAUACUAUAUAUAAGUAAAUAAAGUAGUAUAGAUUUUUAUUUCCAUAAUAUAUAAACUAUAUUGUGGUGGGUGACUGUGUUGUAUAUAAAUGGAAUAGUACAGAUAUCUGUCCGCAUAGUAUAGUAAUUAUUAUGUUAAUAGUAUAGUAUAUGUUAUUGAAAUGGUUUUCAGUUUAAAAAUAAUGUGCGUUGACAUCGCCACAUAAUUAAUAAUCAUAAUUUAAUAUGUGAUGUUCUGUGAUUUAUGGAAUUGUUGAUGGAAUUGUCUCCGUUGAUGGUGAAGGAUUGUGGUGAAUAAUAGAGUUUUGAAGACUCGUGUGGCGAGUGACAGGACUUGUUCAGUGGCGAUCACCUCCAUCUAUACAAUCAAAACUACUGUAUUUGUUUCUACCGCAAUUGUCCCCCUUCUCAUAAUUCUAUGCCCGUGUGUUCUUCUCUUCUAUCUAGUGAAUCAACAACAAAAUUCGUUUCUCUGAUGCGGUUGCAUGUACUAUCUCCACCGAUGUCGACAGAUACACUUAUUUUUUAUUGUUGUGAAUGACAAACAAUAUUGAAUGUAUUGACCUUUCCAUAUUUUAUAUUGAUGUGUAUAUUAUUUUGUAAAGAGAAAUAGUUUAUUAAACGCAAAUUGUAUAGAAUUUAUUAUGGCAUCAGAUAAAACAGAAUACAAUGUGAUGUUGAGUCGAAUGGUAUUCAUAUGAUGUUUCUUUAAUAUUACAUAAUAUAAUUUAAUAUUACACAAUUUUAUGUACUUUUUAAAUUUUGAUAUUUGGGUUUAGGGUUUAUCUUUGGAUUAGGAUUUAGUGAUUUAAGUUUAGGGUUUAGUAUUUAGAAAGUGAGGGAGUAUGGUUUUGGGUCGGCAUUAACUUCUUCCUUGCAAUCAUAUAUAUUUCAUAAUCUCACCAAUAGGUACUAUGUUAUUUAUUUUAUUUCAUUCUAUUUGGGUUUAUGAUUUAUAUUUAGGUUUAGGGUUUAUAUUUUGGUAAGGGUUUAGUGAUUUGAGUUUAGGGUUUAGUAUUUAGAAGGUGGAGAAGUAUGGUUAUGGUCGACGUUAACUUCUUCCAUGCAAUCAUAGACAUUUCAUAAUUUCACCAAUAUGUACUAUGUUAUUUAUUUUGUUCCAUUCUAUCUAGGUUUUGGGUUUAUAUUUGAGUUUAUGGUUUAUAUUUGUUUUUAGGGUUUACUAAUUAGAUUUUAGGGUUUAGUAUUUAGGGGUUGGGUGAGAUUGAGAUAAUGUUUAGUAUCUAGGAAUUGUGGUUGGGAUAUGUUUAGUAUUUAGGGAUUAUAAGUAGAGUUAUAAUCCUAUACUACUUAGGUGAUAUGGAACAGAACACUCGUGCAUAUGUAUGUAAGAUAUACGUGGAUGGUUCUUCUUUCAUUUUUUAAAAUAGUUUUCAGGUGCUCUUGACCUUUUAUUUGGAAUAGUUUAAAUUGUAUUAAGGUCUACAUUUCCAUGUAUGAUUUAGUUCUUAUUUGAUAGGAUUCAAUUUAUUUCGUGAUAUAUACUAUUUUACCAUAUAGAAUAGUAAUUCAGGUAAUUUCUUUGUCUGUUAAGUUAACAGAAGUUGUGUAACGCGUACAAUUAUUAUCCACUCAUGUCGCAUCAUUCUCUUACAUUAUAGGCGUUAAUUAUGUACCACAAAAGACAACCACAUCGUUUACUUUAGAAAUUGUAACUGCCAACUUAUUACGUGAAAGGGCAGAACCGGAGAGAAUAUAAUCAAAAAGUCUGACAUUUAAUUAUGUCAAAAUCAGUGUUAUCCACCUAAUUUCAUACUGAAAUAUGGCUAUUCAGCCAGUAAGCCCAUUUUAAUUCAUGCCGCCCAGUUAGUUCUUCCCGUUUUUAUUUCUAGAAACUUAAUAUUUUCUUCUUCAUUUGGCAGCGACAUGAAGAUUUGAAAGUCACUUUCGUCUGAGGCAAGAUAAUCAAUUGCAGUCCAAUACAACUCACUCUCAUGAUUUAGAGUGGUCAUCUUUAAGAGCUCCUGCAUACACACUGCACAACUAAAUGGAUUUAGAGAUUCAAAUGUCUAUCGGCCGCCUUUCCAAAAUUUUCCUUGAUUUUCAAUAGCAGUUGUGAGACGCUCCCACUUAUCUGGAUUCACUUGUUUACGAGAAGCAACAGCUUUUCCCUUUCCCACGUGGUCCCAAUUUUCCAAUCGGUUCAGCUGGUUCGACUUCUUCAUCAGAUUCGAUCACUUGAGUAAAUGGGUUUGGUGCAUCGCGUAAUUUACUUGGUCCAGCAUGAGGUUGCCAUCCUUCCUUAACCGAAACAGUGACUCGGGCAUACAGACGAUCAAGUAAAGGUAUAUCUUUAAGAGGAUGUGCUCGCAACUUGGAUGCUUCCGAACAACCCUACAAUAAAAAUAUAUAUUAAUUUAUUUUUAGCAUAUAUAUUUGUUACAUAUUUAAAAGUAUGAAAAUAUAUUUAAAACAAAAUUACUUACUUUUAUUAGCUCAU